CCAGCACAAGCUCAAUAAUUCUGGAGUAGAUGCCCUUAACAACAAGCAGAUGAAAGAUUUACCCUUCUUUUUGAACUUAUGGAAGCUGCUCGCUUGCUCCGGAUAAGGAGCCUCUUUGACCUAACCAGUGUAGCUAUUGUUGACAUGAUCACUGGAAAGACUGAUGAUGAGCAAAUUCUUAAAAUCAUGAAGCUAAAGAGUGGUUUUACUAUUAAAGAGGUGGCAGACAUACACAGAACAAAAGGCUGGGCAUUCAGCUGAAGUUGUUGAC